UACAGAGGGGGCAAGCGUUAAUCGGAAUUACUGGGCGUAAAGCGUGCGUAGACGGUUGCGUAAGUCAGCUGUGAAAGCCCCGGGCUUAACCUGGGAAUUGCGGUUGAAACUACAGGGCUAGAAUCUGGCAGAGGGGGGUGGAAUUCCACGUGUAGCAGUGAAAUGCGUAGAGAUGUGGAGGAACACCGAUGGCGAAGGCAGCCCCCUGGGCUGAGAUUGACGCUCAGGCACGAAAGCGUGGGGAGCAAACAGG
rnacentral:rRNA from 1 species